ACACCAGCCCUGGCCAUGGAGAAGAACAAUGUGAUGGUCUGCGCAGCUGUGGGCUUCCUCGGCCUCCUCUCCGCCGCGCUUGGCUUCGCCGCAGAGGCCACAAGGAUCACGGUUUUGGCAUACCGAGACGAUCCCUUUUCGCUUUCAUUUUCUCUCCCUGAUCUCCGUGAUUUGUUGAUCAUGGCAUUCCACCAUUCCCUGAUGCAGAGAACUUUCAUUGCGAAGACUCUGCUCAUUUGUAGGUGCUGUCACUGUUUCCUCCCAUUGUACUUGCAAAUGCGUGGUAGAGCUUCGAUGAUUUCUAUUUUCUUGGUCUUUCUUGGAAGACGCGGCUUUGGUGCUAUAAGAAAGCUGUUCUCUUGGAACCAGCUACGACGAUGACCUUUGACCCCUUUAUCGCAUUUGGAUUUGUAGGAUUUAUAGUCUGGAUGUUGGUGAUUAGAAUUAGAAGGCCUCUUUCCAGUUCCGUUACUGUUCUCGAUGGCAAAGGUUCGAUCUAUAGGUUCCUUGGUUGUGUUUUCUUUCGUGAGUAAGGGUGGACUGUAAUCAUUAUGGAUUGCUGUCAGUUGUCAAGUUUUGUUUCUACUCUCCGGAAGGUUAUAUGCAGGUUUCUGAUGUGCAAACAACAAAUCUAGUUGUAUGCACGUACCCAAGGACUCCUGCACUAGCUCUGGGUUUAUUAGCAGCAGUGGCUCUUAUGAUAGCUCAAGCCAUCAUAAAAACUGUAUCUGGGUGUAUUUGUUGUACAAAGUAUCCAAAUCCAUCAGACACUAACUGGACAUUAGGGUUGAUCUCCUUUAUUGCUACUUGGGAUUCUGUAAUUUAGAUUCCUUGCCUGGAAGCAACUGCAAGGAUCAUCACUUUCUCCUCUUUAUUACUCAUGAUUCUGUCCCUUUUUUGGUGCAUC